rnacentral:tRNA from 1 species
GGAGAGGUGGCCGAGCGGUCGAAGGUGCUCGCCUGGAAAGCGGGUGUACGGCAACGUACCGAGGGUUCGAAUCCCUCCCUCUCCGCCA